GAUGAACGCUGGCGGCGUGCUUAACACAUGCAAGUCGAACGAAGCACUUUUAAUUCUUCGGAAGAGAAAGUGACUGAGUGGCGGACGGGUGAGUAACGCGUGGGUAACCUGCCUUAUACAGGGGGAUAACAGUUAGAAAUGACUGCUAAUACCGCAUAAGCCGAUAGAGUGGCAUGAAUUAGUCGGAAAAGAUUUAUCGGUAUAAGAUGGACCCGCGUCUGAUUAGCUAGUUGGUUAGGUAACGGCCCACCAAGGCGACGAUCAGUAGCCGGCUUGAGAGAGUGAACGGCCACAUUGGGACUGAGACACGGCCCAAACUCCUACGGGAGGCAGCAGUGGGGAAUAUUGCACAAUGGGGGAAACCCUGAUGCAGCGACGCCGCGUGAAGGAAGAAGUAUUUCGGUAUGUAAACUUCUAUCAGCAGGGAAGAAAAUGACGGUAUCUGACUAAGAAGCCCCGGCUAACUACGUGCCAGCCGCCGCAGUAACAC
rnacentral:rRNA from 1 species